CUGGGGUCCCAAGGGCAGUCCAGACAACCUGAACCUGUGACACUCACCCUGCCCACACACUCUCAGAGCUGCAGCUUUCACGGGGGUGACAUGAAUGCUUGUAAAUGAGCUUGCUGAAUGGGAGACCAAGAACGAUGAUAUUGAGCUGUUACUACAUGCCAGACAUUUAACCCUUUCAUCCAGGUUAUCUCAAUCAUUCCUUACAGAAAGGCUUUUGAGAUGUCCUUGCAACUGGAGGUGCCAUAUGAUACAGUUCUGCCCAAAGACAAGAAAGUGAAUGUCUGUUGAGGGCUUCCUAUAAGGCCAAUACAUACAGGUGUUCCCAACAACAGGUGUCAUCAUUGAUCUUUCUUGGGUCUCACUGCUGAAGAAUGGGGCUGUAAGAUGAUUUCAACAAACAAUCCUUGACAGGAAACCAAAGGCAACAAGGCACAGGGACAGACAGCUGACAAAUGCAGUAUGGGGCCAUUAAAGCAUGUGAUGAAUUUGCCAGGAAAGUAUAUAUUUGUGCAAGAGGUGAGCUCAUAUCUCCCAUAAAUUUGUCAGCCGUGACACAGUGUUCUCCGGCUUGGCAUGAGUAAUGCCUUGCUAUUUGCGCCUUUGUCUGG
rnacentral:lncRNA from 1 species